CCUACGGGUGGCAGCAGUGAGGAAUAUUGGUCAAUGGACGAGAGUCUGAACCAGCCAAGUAGCGUGAAGGAUGACUGCCCUAUGGGUUGUAAACUUCUUUUAUAAAGGAAUAAAACGAGGCACGUGUGCCUUUUUGCAUGUACUUUAUGAAUAAGGAUCGGCUAACUCCGUGCCAGCAGCCGCGGUAAUACGGAGGAUCCGAGCGUUAUCCGGGUUUAUUGGGUUUAAAGGGAGCGUAGAUGGGUUGUUAAGUCAGUUGUGAAAGUUUGCGGCUCAACCGUAAAAUUGCAAUUGAUACUGGCAGUCGUGAGUACAGUUGAGGUAGGCGGAAUUCGUGGUGUAGCGGUGAAAUGCUUAGAUAUCACGAAGAACCCCGAUUGCGAAGGCAGCUUACUAAACUGUGACUGACAUUGAUGCUCGAAAGUGUGGGUAUCAAACAGGAUUAGAUACCCUAGUAGUC
rnacentral:rRNA from 1 species